GACGAACGCUGGCGGCGUGCUUAACACAUGCAAGUCGAACGGAAAGGCCCUUCUUUUGUGGGGUGCUCGAGUGGCGAACGGGUGAGUAACACGUGAGUAACCUGCCCUUGACUUUGGGAUAACUUCAGGAAACUUGGGCUAAUACCGGAUAGGAGCUCCUGCUGCAUGGUGGGGGUUGGAAAGUUUCGGCGGUUGGGGAUGGACUCGCGGCUUAUCAGCUUGUUGGUGGGGUAGUGGCUUACCAAGGCUUUGACGGGUAGCCGGCCUGAGAGGGUGACCGGCCACAUUGGGACUGAGAUACGGCCCAGACUCCUACGGGAGGCAGCAGUGGGGAAUAUUGCACAAUGGGCGGAAGCCUGAUGCAGCAACGCCGCGUGCGGGAUGACGGCCUUCGGGUUGUAAACCGCUUUCGCCUGUGACGAAGCGUGAGUGACGGUAAUGGGUAAAGAAGCACCGGCUAACUACGUG
rnacentral:rRNA from 1 species